AGGUUUUGCAUACUUAAGACGAAUCCCAAACUCCAAAGAAAAUAUGGAGAAUGGAAUAAUACAUUGGAACCGCUUGUUACGCAUGUGAUUUGCUAAUAAUAACUUACCUGGAAUAUGUCAUCUUUACAGGCCCUUCCAUAUAUGUGGAGUUGAAUCUCAGAGGAGGACAGGAUCACAUUUGAAGAGUUGCCAAAUGCAAGUAUUGAGCAGCUGACAGAGGUUCCCAAGGCUUCCGAAAAGGGACUCAGUCAAGAGGCAACUGAGACAACAUCAAGGACUUUCUAAAAACACAAGCUCAGCCAUAUGUCAAUGCAGAAAAUUACAGAGAAACACAGCUGCACCAGAAAAGUCAAUAAUCUUGUUGUCAGCUUAAUUGGAGGAAUAAGGAGAGAGACUAUGGUUCUGAAUUCCCAUGGUUCACUCAUACCUAUAGCCUAUUAAACAGCUGUCUAGAGGAGUUAAUGAAGCUUAAACCUUCUUUAAAGUUUAAUAACAGCAAUUAUUGUUGCUUCCUGGAGUGAAAAAUUCUACAGAAUUGGAAAGCAAAUAAUCUCUGUAAUUUGAAUCCAUGUAUUAACUGUCUCCUAUGCAAACAAUUAACAUGUAAUCUUGUAUUUCAUUAUCACAUGCUUUACUCUAAGAAAUCAUCAAAAGUCUUCUGCUAAUUUAUGUACAAUUUAUAGAUUAAAUGUUAGUUUGCAGUAUUCAUAGCAUUUAAGAUAUCAUUUGAUGUUAAACAUUAGGUAGAGUAUUAAAGGCAUGUGUUCCAUUGAGUUGAUUAUCCAGAACUGAAGAAAUAUGUGGUUCGCACAGUGUAUGUCAAUAAAGGCAUUUCAAAUUAUAUACUGGAAGUAUAGUUGUAUCUCCAUCUGCUACCUUUUGGGGGGAUGGUUAAGAGUAUGGUACCUGCAGCCCCCUUGUAGUAACUGGAAUCCAGAUAUGGUCGUUUAAUUAUUUGAUUGUAAGACCAUGGAGCUUCUGAAUGAAUCACACUAAGCUGAGACCAGCCAGCAGAAUGAACAGUUAGUCAGUAUUGAACAGUAAAAAAAAAAAAAAACAAUAGCACUACAAUGAACACACAC